rnacentral:lncRNA from 1 species
CCGGAUACUCAGCCCCUUUUGUCGUCUUCGUCGGAGGUCACUCGCGACGAGUCGCUGUCGUGACACCGAUUGCACUCAGUCGCAAUCAAGACUGACCCGCACCCACCAUCGUGGUUUGCUUCGAAGGAGGAGGCGUCCACAACGAACAUCGCUCCAAGGACGCUCACACUUAGAGGUCUUAACACCGGGACAACGCCGCCACUAUGUCAUUUCCUCCGCG